CCAUGCUUACAUUUUCAUUCAAACACACACCCACAGAGUUUUCUUUGGGCCAACCAAAUAUAUUUAUUUACCAGGCUAAGAGAUUCGAGGAUUGAGCAGAAAAAAUUCAUUUUUAAACAAAAGUUGAUAUAUAACCCAGAGGAAUUUUUUUUUUUUUUUUUUUUUUUUUAGGUUUAAGAUGUCAGCUGUGUCACAGUUCCUGUCCCCACAGAAACAGGAUGUGCUUGGUCUACCUACAUGAUGGGUGGAAUGAUGUCGUGGUUGCUUAGCUGCAUCCUUGGAGAUGGCUUCACCCCCAGGUUCUCCUGACUGCUGUGCUUUUGGUACAUCUGUGGUUCCACUGCCCAUUCUGCAAGUCAGGGACUUCGCCUCAGGCAUCAGGAGUGCGGCUCUAAGAAUUCCCCAGUUAGAUGAGAUGAUGCAAUGGCUGUGGAAAGCAGCAGUCUGGCUCUGCUCUGGAAAGCUUUCACUUCACCAAGUACUUCUGAG
rnacentral:lncRNA from 1 species